rnacentral:lncRNA from 1 species
GAAAAUUUUGUAAAAAAUAAUAGUAUAAAAUAUUAGAAAUACGUACGUACAUGUACAAAACGACUAUUGUAUGUUUGCUUUUUAAAAAAAACGUGAGACGUGUAUAGAACACGAAUGUAUUGUUGAAAAAUACGUUCCUAUAUAUGUGUGUAUGUACAUAUAUAUGAACACGUAUGUAAAAGAAUAUAGCCGCUCGUCUAUACUAUAUAUUAAAUUCAAUUUAUAAAAUAAAAAAAGUAACGCCUCCCGCCUCUGCUAUAUUUUGUUAUAUACAAAAUUCAAAAAAAAAAAAAAAACAAAAGAGUAGAGCCGUGCGGCUAUACUAUUUUUAAAUACAAAAAAAGUCCCCAACCAAUAGGGGCCACGUGUCUUUUUCAAAAAAAAUUCAAAACAGCGUAUAGCCGUGCGGCUAUACUAUUUUUAAAUAUAAAAAAAGACCCCCAGCCAUUAUGCCCACGUGUCAACACAUAUAUUUCUUUAAAAAAAUAUUCAAAACAGAGUAUAGCCGUGCGGCUAUACUAUUUUUAAAUAUAAAAAAAGUCCCCCAGCCAACAGCGACACGUGUCAACACAUUAAAAUUCAAAACAGAGUAUAGCCGUGCGGCUAUACUAUUUUUAAAUAUAAAAAAGACCCCAGCCAUUAUGCCCACGUGUCAACACAUACAUUUCUUUUAAAAAAAAUUCCAAACCGAGUAUAGCCGUGCGGCUAUACUAUUUUUAAAUAGAAAAUAAGACCCCAGCCAUUAUGCCCACGUGUCAAGACAUACAUUUCUUUUAAAAAAAUUCCAAACCGAGUCUAGCCGUGCGGCUCUACGAUUUUUAAAUAUAAAAAAAGUCCCCCAGCCAACAGGGGCCACGUGUCAACACAUUAAAAUUCAAAACAGAGUAUCGCCGUGCGGCUAUACUAUUUUUAAAUAUAAAAAAGACCCCAGCCAUUAUGCCCACGUGUCAACACAUACAUUUCUUUUAAAAAAAAUUCCAAACCGAGUAUAGCCGUUCGGCUCUACUAUUUUUAAAUAUAAAAAAAGAUCCCCA